GGGACAACCCGCCGAAAGGCGGGCUAAACCCGCGUACAUGCCACCGGGGCAUCCCGGAGGCAGGAAAGGCUUCGGCCGGACAGGGAUGGGCAUGCGGCGCAUUAGGCAGUAGGCGGGGUAACGGCCCACCUAACCGACGAUGCGUAGGGGUUCUGAGAGGAAGGUCCCCCACACUGGUACUGAGACACGGACCAGACUCCUACGGGAGGCAGCAGUGAGGAAUAUUGGUCAAUGGUCGGGAGACUGAACCAGCCAAGCCGCGUGAGGGAUGAAGGUACAGAGUAUCGUAAACCUCUUUUGUCAGGGAACAAAGGCGGGGACGUGUCCCCGGAUGAGUGUACCUGAAGAAAAAGCAUCGGCUAACUCCGUGCCAGCAGCCGCGGUAAUACGGAGGAUGCGAGCGUUAUCCGGAUUUAUUGGGUUUAAAGGGUGCGCAGGCGGUCUGUUAAGUCAGCGGUCAAAGCCCGGGGCUCAACCCCGGCCCGCCGUUGAAACUGGCAGUCUCGAGUUGGAGAGAAGUAUGCGGAAUGCGCGGUGUAGCGGUGAAAUGCAUAGAUAUCGCGCAGAACUCCGAUUGCGAAGGCAGCAUGCCGGCUCCACACUGACGCUGAGGCACGAAAGCGUGGGUAUCGAACAGGAUUAGAUACCCUGGUAGUCCACGCAGUAAAC
rnacentral:rRNA from 1 species